rnacentral:rRNA from 1 species
CGAAAGCGGACUUCGGUCCGCAAGUAGAGUGGCAAACGGGUGAGUACCGCGUGGGUGACCUACCUUCGAGUGGGGGAUAACCUUCCGAAAGGGGGGCUAAUACCGCAUAACAUCCUGUUCUUGAACGAACGGUGAUCAAAGCUGGGGAUCGCAAGACCUGGCGCUUGUUGAGGGGCCCGCGUCCGAUUAGCUUGUUGGUGAGGUAAUGGCUCACCAAGGCAACGAUCGGUAGCCGGCCUGAGAGGGCGGACGGCCACACUGGGACUGAGACACGGCCCAGACUCCUACGGGAGGCAGCAGUAGGGAAUUGUUCGCAAUGGGCGCAAGCCUGACGACGCAACGCCGCGUGGAGGACGAAGGCCUUCGGGUCGUAAACUCCUGUCGGGAGGGAAGAACAGUGCAUGGGUUAAUACCCUGUGCGCCUGACGGUACCUCUAGAGGAAGCCCCGGCUAACUCCGUGCCAGCAGCCGCGGUAAUACGGGGGGGGCAAGCGUUGUUCGGAUUUACUGGGCGUAAAGGGCUCGUAGGCGGCCAUUUAAGUCGGUUGUGAAAUCCCUCGGCUCAACCGGGGAACUGCGACCGAUACUGAGUGGCUUGAAGCCGGGAGAGGGAUGCGGAA